AGGCUCAAGUGAUCCUCCAACUUCAGUCUCCCUACUAACUGGGACUACAGGCGCCAGCCAUCGCCCCUCCCCACCCCACCCUGAAUAUUUUGGAUCCAUGGUUAGUUGAAUAUGUGGAAGUGAAACUCAAGAUGCAGCCAACAGAUACAAAGGGCCCGUUAAAUAUACAUGGCUGUUUCUGGGGUUCCUAUUCUCUUUUGGACUCUUGGAUCUCCCCUUCCUCAAUAGCUGAUACAGAAGUUACCGCCGCCUGAUCUAUCCAAGAGACCAGCUGCCCUGAACUUGUCCUAACGCCUGUUAAGUAUCCGCAUUACAGGUUCUAAGAGCCAUGAAAAUCAUGAAAGCCUCAUGUGAGACGAUUACAUCCUAGAGUGAAGGGAGCCUGGAUUCCUGAGCCAAUGAGUAUUCAAGAACCUCCACUGACCCGCAUUGGAUUUUCAUGAGUGAGAAAUAAACUUCUGAGGUUAAAGCAUUGAGAUUUGAGUUUUUCCUCUUCAUGAAAGCCCAUAUAUACAUGUGUACAGCCCUAGUUUCUGACUUUCUAAAGUCCUAAUUUUCUAUCUGCCACACCUAGUAACUGCUUACAAGAUUUCAAUAAUAAUGAAC
rnacentral:lncRNA from 10 species